GCGGAUGUAGCCAAGUGGAUCAAGGCAGUGGAUUGUGAAUCCACCAUGCGCGGGUUCAAUUCCCGCCGUUCGCC
rnacentral:tRNA from 1 species